rnacentral:rRNA from 1 species
UACGUAGGGUGCAAGCGUUAAUCGGAAUUACUGGGCGUAAAGCGUGCGCAGGCGGUUAUGUAAGACAGGUGUGAAAUCCCCGGGCUUAACCUGGGAACUGCAUUUGUGACUGCAUAGCUAGAGUACGGUAGAGGGGGAUGGAAUUCCGCGUGUAGCAGUGAAAUGCGUAGAUAUGUGGAGGAACACCGAUGGCGAAGGCAGCCUCCUGGGCCGACACUGACGCUCAAGCACGAAAGCGUGGGGAGCAAACAGG